rnacentral:tRNA from 1 species
GUUGUUGUGGCCGAGAGGUUUUUAGCGAUGGACUCGAAAUCCAUUGGGGUCUCCCCGCGCAGGUUCGAGUCCUGCCAGCAACG